AGAGUUUGAUCCUGGCUCAGGAUGAACGCUAGCGGCAGGCCUAAUACAUGCAAGUCGAACGGUGUAGCAAUACAUAGUGGCGCACGGGUGCGUAACACGUAUGCAACCUACCUUAUACUGGGGGAUAGCCUUUGGAAACGGAGAUUAAUACCCCAUAGUACAUUUGAUUGGCAUCAAUUAAAUGUUAAAGAUUUAUCGGUAUAAGCUGGGCAUGCGUCCAAUUAGUUAGUUGGUGAGGUAAUGGCUCACCAAGACUUUGAUUGGUAGGGGAACUGAGAGGUUAAUCCCCCACACUGGCACUGAGAUACGGGCCAGACUCCUACGGGAGGCAGCAGUAGGGAAUAUUGGGCAAUGGAGGCAACUCUGACCCAGCCAUGCCGCGUGCAGGAAGAAGGCGUUAUGCGUUGUAAACUGCUUUUAUAUAGGAAGAAAUAGUCCUUGCGAGGAAAGUUGACGGUACUAUAUGAAUAAGCACCGGCUAACUCCGUGCCAGCAGCCGCGGUAAUACGGAGGGUGCAAGCGUUGUCCGGAUUUAUUGGGUUUAAAGGGUGCGUAGGCGGUUUAUUAAGUCAGUGGUGAAAGACGGUCGCUNCACGAUUGCAGUGCCAUUGAUACUGGUA
rnacentral:rRNA from 1 species